rnacentral:rRNA from 1 species
GACGAACGCUGGCGGCGUGCUUAACACAUGCAAGUCGAACGCUGAAGCUCAGCUUUUGUUGGGUGGAUGAGUGGCGAACGGGUGAGUAACACGUGAGUAACCUGCCUCCUUCUUUGGGAUAACGCCCGGAAACGGGUGCUAAUACUGGAUAUUCACUGGUCUUCGCAUGGGGGUUGGUGGAAAGGGUUUUUCUGGUGGGGGAUGGGCUCGCGGCCUAUCAGCUUGUUGGUGGGGUGAUGGCCUACCAAGGCUUUGACGGGUAGCCGGCCUGAGAGGGUGACCGGUAACAUUGGGACUGAGAUACGGCCCAGACUCCUACGGGAGGCAGCAGUGGGGAAUAUUGCACAAUGGGUGCAAGCCUGAUGCAGCGACGCCGCGGGAGGGAUGGAGGCCUUCGGGUUGUGAACCUCUUUCGCUCAUGGUCAAGCCGCAACAAUGGUUGUGGUGAGGGUAGUGGGUAAAGAAGCGCCGGCUAACUACGUG